rnacentral:rRNA from 2 species
AGCGGCAGACGGGUGAGUAACGCGUGGGAAUCUACCUUAAGCUACGGGAUAACAGAGAGAAAUUUCUGCUAAUACCGUAUGUGGCCUAUGGGCGAAAGAUUUAUCGGCUUAAGAUGAGCCCGCGUUGGAUUAGCUAGUUGGUGGGGUAAAGGCCUACCAAGGCGACGAUCCAUAGCUGGUCUGAGAGGAUGAUCAGCCACACUGGGACUGAGACACGGCCCAGACUCCUACGGGAGGCAGCAGUGGGGAAUAUUGGACAAUGGGCGGAAGCCUGAUCCAGCCAUGCCGCGUGAGUGAAGAAGGCCUUAGGGUUGUAAAGCUCUUUCACCGGUGAAGAUAAUGACGGUAACCGGAGAUGAAGCCCCGGCUAACUUCGUGCCAGCAGCCGCGGUAAUACGAAGGGGGCUAGCGUUGUUCGGAUUUACUGGGCGUAAAGCGCGCGUAGGCGGAUAGAUAAGUCAGAGGUGAAAUCCCGGGGCUCAACCCCGGAAUUGCCUUUGAUACUAUUUAUCUUGAGUGCAGAAGAGGUAAGUGGAAUUCCGAGUGUAGAGGUGAAAUUCGUUGAUAUUCGGAGGAACACCAGUGGCGAANGCGGCUUACUGGUCUGCAACUGACGCUGAGGCGCGAAAGCGU